AUUGAACGCUGGCGGCAGGCCUAACACAUGCAAGUCGAGCGGAUGAAGGGAGCUUGCUCCUGGAUUCAGCGGCGGACGGGUGAGUAAUGCCUAGGAAUCUGCCUGGUAGUGGGGGAUAACGUCCGGAAACGGGCGCUAAUACCGCAUACGUCCUGAGGGAGAAAGUGGGGGAUCUUCGGACCUCACGCUAUCAGAUGAGCCUAGGUCGGAUUAGCUAGUUGGUGGGGUAAAGGCCUACCAGGCGACGAUCCGUAACUGGUCUGAGAGGAUGAUCAGUCACACUGGAACUGAGACACGGUCCAGACUCCUACGGGAGGCAGCAGUGGGGAAUAUUGGACAAUGGGCGAAAGCCUGAUCCAGCCAUGCCGCGUGUGUGAAGAAGGUCUUCGGAUUGUAAAGCACUUUAAGUUGGGAGGAAGGGCAGUAAGUUAAUACCUUGCUGUUUUGACGUUACCAACAGAAUAAGCACCGGCUAACUUCGU
rnacentral:rRNA from 1 species